GACAUAGGUCGCAAACGUUAUCCGGAAUUACUGGGCGUAAAGGGCGCGUAGGCGGACAGUUUAGUCAGAGGUGAAAGCCCAGGGCUCAACCUUGGAAUUGCCUUUGAUACUGGCUGUCUUGAGUUCGGGAGAGGUGAGUGGAAUGCCGAGUGUAGAGGUGAAAUUCGUAGAUAUUCGGCGGAACACCAGUGGCGAAGGCGACUCACUGGCCCGAUACUGACGCUGAGGCGCGAAAGCGUGGGGAGCAAACAGG
rnacentral:rRNA from 1 species